rnacentral:sRNA from 1 species
GCCAGGUGCAGUGGCGUACACCUGUAAUUCCAGUGGCUAGGGAGGCUGAGGUAGGAGGAUUUUGAGUUCAAAGCCAGCCUCAG